GGUUAAGCGACCAAGCGUACACGGUGGAUGCCCUGGCAGUCAGAGGCGAUGAAGGACGUGCUAAUCUGCGAAAAGCGCCGGUAAGGUGAUAUGAACCGUUAUAACCGGCGAUGUCCGAAUGGGGAAACCCAGUGUGACUCGUCACACUAUCAUUAACUGAAUCCAUAGGUUAAUGAGGCGAACCGGGGGAACUGAAACAUCUAAGUACCCCGAGGAAAAGAAAUCAACCGAGAUUCCCCCAGUAGCGGCGAGCGAACGGGGAGGAGCCCAGAGCCUGAAUCAGCAUGUGUGUUAGUGGAAGCGUCUGGAAAGGCGCGCGAUACAGGGUGACAGCCCCGUACACAAAAGCGCAUGUGCUGUGAGCUCGAUGAGUAGGGCGGGACACGUGGUAUCCUGUCUGAAUAUGGGGGGACCAUCCUCCAAGGCUAAAUACUCCUGACUGACCGAUAGUGAACCAGUACCGUGAGGGAAAGGCGAAAAGAACCCCGGCGAGGGGAGUGAAACAGAACCUGAAACCGUGUACGUACAAGCAGUGGGAGCAUGAGUUUACUCAUGUGACUGCGUACCUUUUGUAUAAUGGGUCAGCGACUUAUAUUCUGUAGCAAGGUUAACCGAAUAGGGGAGCCGGAGGGAAACCGAGUCUUAACCGGGCGUUAAGUUGCAGGGUAUAGACCCGAAACCCGGUGAUCUAGCCAUGGGCAGGUUGAAGGUUGGGUAACACUAACUGGAGGACCGAACCGACUAAUGUUGAAAAAUUAGCGGAUGACCUGUGGCUGGGGGUGAAAGGCCAAUCAAACCGGGAGAUAGCUGGUUCUCCCCGAAAGCUAUUUAGGUAGCGCCUCGUGAAUUCAUCUCCGGGGGUAGAGCACUGUUUCGGCCAGGGGGCCAUCCCGGCUUACCAACCCGAUGCAAACUGCGAAUACCGGAGAAUGUUAUCACGGGAGACACACGGCGGGUGCUAACGUCCGUCGUGAAGAGGGAAACAACCCAGACCGCCAGCUAAGGUCCCAAAGUCAUGGUUAAGUGGGAAACGAUGUGGGAAGGCCCAGACAGCCAGGAUGUUGGCUUAGAAGCAGCCAUCAUUUAAAGAAAGCGUAAUAGCUCACUGGUCGAGUCGGCCUGCGCGGAAGAUGUAACGGGGCUAAACCAUGCACCGAAGCUGCGGCAGCGACACUAAGUGUUGUUGGGUAGGGGAGCGUUCUGUAAGCCUGCGAAGGUGUGCUGUGAGGCAUGCUGGAGGUAUCAGAAGUGCGAAUGCUGACAUAAGUAACGAUAAUGCGGGUGAAAAACCCGCACGCCGGAAGACCAAGGGUUCCUGUCCAACGUUAAUCGGGGCAGGGUGAGUCGACCCCUAAGGCGAGGCCGAAAGGCGUAGUCGAUGGGAAACGGGUUAAUAUUCCCGUACCUGGUGUUACUGCGAAGGGGGGACGGAGAAGGCUAUGUUGGCCGGGCGACGGUUGUCCCGGUUUAAGCGUGCAGGCUGGUUUUCCAGGCAAAUCCGGAAAAUCAAGGCUGAGGCGUGACGACGAGGCACUACGGUGCUGAAGCAACAAAUGCCCUGCUUCCAGGAAAAGCCUCUAAGCCUCAGGUAACAUCAGAUCGUACCCGAAACCGACACAGGUGGUCAGGUAGAGAAUACCAAGGCGCUUGAGAGAACCCGGGUGAAGGAACUAGGCAAAAUGGUGCCGUAACUUCGGGAGAAGGCACGCUGACACGUAGGUGAAGCGGUUUACCCGUGGAGCUGAAGUCAGUCGAAGAUACCAGCUGGCUGCAACUGUUUAUUAAAAACACAGCACUGUGCAAACACGAAAGUGGACGUAUACGGUGUGACGCCUGCCCGGUGCCGGAAGGUUAAUUGAUGGGGUCAGCGCAAGCGAAGCUCCUGAUCGAAGCCCCGGUAAACGGCGGCCGUAACUAUAACGGUCCUAAGGUAGCGAAAUUCCUUGUCGGGUAAGUUCCGACCUGCACGAAUGGCGUAAUGAUGGCCAGGCUGUCUCCACCCGGGACUCAGUGAAAUUGAACUCGCUGUGAAGAUGCAGUGUACCCGCGGCAAGACGGAAAGACCCCGUGAACCUUUACUAUAGCUUGACACUGAACACUGGUCCUUGAUGUGCAGGAUAGGUGGGAGGCUUUGAAGUGUGGACGCCAGUCUGCAUGGAGCCGUCCUUGAAAUACCACCCUUUAAUGGCUGGUGUUCUAACGUAGACCCGUGAACCGGGUUGCGGACAGUGUCUGGUGGGUAGUUUGACUGGGGCGGUCUCCUCCUAAAGCGUAACGGAGGAGCACGAAGGUUGGCUAAUCCUGGUCGGACAUCAGGAGGUUAGUGCAAUGGCAUAAGCCAGCUUGACUGCGAGCGUGACGGCGCGAGCAGGUGCGAAAGCAGGUCAUAGUGAUCCGGUGGUUCUGAAUGGAAGGGCCAUCGCUCAACGGAUAAAAGGUACUCCGGGGAUAACAGGCUGAUACCGCCCAAGAGUUCAUAUCGACGGCGGUGUUUGGCACCUCGAUGUCGGCUCAUCACAUCCUGGGGCUGAAGUAGGUCCCAAGGGUAUGGCUGUUCGCCAUUUAAAGUGGUACGCGAGCUGGGUUUAGAACGUCGUGAGACAGUUCGGUCCCUAUCUGCCGUGGGCGCUGGAGAACUGAGGGGGGCUGCUCCUAGUACGAGAGGACCGGAGUGGACGCAUCACUGGUGUUCGGGUUGUCAUGCCAAUGGCACUGCCCGGUAGCUAAAUGCGGAAGAGAUAAGUGCUGAAAGCAUCUAAGCACGAAACUUGCCCCGAGAUGAGUUCUCCCUGAGACUACAAGUCUCCUGAAGGAACGUUGAAGACGACGACGUUGAUAGGCCGGGUGUGUAAGCGCAGCGAUGCGUUGAGCUAACCGGUACUAAUGAACCGUGAGGCUUAACCUU
rfam:Salmonella enterica subsp. arizonae serovar 62:z4,z23:--, complete genome.